CUUUCAGUCCAGUUCAGUUUCAGUUCGCUUUGGCAGCUCGUCGUGUCAGAGUCUUCCUUCUUCAUCUAAAGCAGGUUGUUGUGUUGGCGUGGACUCGGCUAUGAAUCGGUGUGAGGACAGACAGAAGGGGGUCCGUCCCUCUGACGGGGAUCAUGACGACCAGACCAAAGCUCAGAGGAUCCAUCAGAGACCAGACUGUCCUGAACCUGAACCCAGCUGUGUGUCCAUGAAGAGUGACCAGUCAAUGGGUCAUCCUCAUAACUUCAAAGAUGGACGCCGCUCUUUUGAUCAAAGGAGGACGCUGGAAAACCCUGAAUCCAGCUGUGUGUCCAUGAAGAGUGACCAGUCUAUGGGUCAUCCUCAUAACUUUAAAGAUGGACGCCACUCCGUUGAUCAAAGAGUCGACCAGGAGAGCUCAGAGGUUCCCAGUGUUCAGUCUGCCCAGCAGCAUCAGACACACCUGGACUCCAUGUUUAUGCUGCUGGAGGAGAACAUUGUGACUUUUGUGAAGAACGAGCUGAAGAAGAUCCAGAAGAUUCUGAGUUCAGAUUCCCCAGAAUUCUUAGGGAGUCAGAUGGAGGAUGAGGAGGUGUUGAACAGUGAGGAUGAAGAGCAGAGGAGGAGCAGCAAAGAAGCAUUUCUGAAGAUCACACAGCACUUCCUGAGGAGCAUGAAGGAGGAGGAUCUGGCUGACCGUCUGCAGAGCAGAUAUCCUGUUUCAGUUUGUUUCCAGCAAACACUUAAAUCUAACCUGAAGGAGAAGUUCCAGUGUGUGUUUGAGGGGAUUGCUAAAGCAGGAAACCCAGCCCUUCUGAAUCAGAUCUACACAGAUCUCCACAUCACAGAGGGGGGGACUGGGGAGGUCAAUAAUGAACAUGAGGUCAGACAGAUUGAAACAGCAUCCAGGAAACCAGACAGACCAGAAACAACAAUCAGACAUGAAGACAUCUUUAAGCUCCCACCUGGAAGAGAGGAACCAAUCAGAACAGUGAUGACGAAGGGCGUGGCUGGCAUUGGGAAAACAGUCCUAACACAGAAGUUCACUCUGGACUGGGCCGAAGACAAAGCCAACCAGGACAUACAGCUCACGUUUCCAUUCACCUUCAGAGAGCUGAAUGUGCUCAAAAAGACAAAGUACAGCUUGGUGGACCUUGUUCAUCACUUCUUUCCUGAAGCAAAAGCAGCAGGAAUCUGCAGGUUUGAGGAGUUCCAGGUUGUGUUCAUCUUUGAUGGUCUGGAUGAGUGUCGACUUCCUCUGGACUUCACCAACAAUGAGAUCCUGACUGAUGUUACAAAGUCCACCUCGGUGGAUGUGCUGCUGACAAACCUCAUCAGAGGGAAACUGCUUCCUUCUUCUCGCCUCUGGAUAACCACACGACCUGCAGCAGCCAAUCAGAUCCCUCCUAAAUGUGUUGACAUGGUGACAGAGGUCAGAGGGUUCACUGAUGAACAGAAGGAGGAGUACUUCAGGAAGAGAUUCAGAGACAAGACGCUGGCCAGCAGGAUCAUCUCCCACAUCAAGACAUCACGAAGCCUCCACAUCAUGUGCCACAUCCCGGUCUUCUGCUGGAUCACUGCCACAGUUCUGGAGGAUGUGAUGAAGACCAGGGAGGAAGGAGUGCUGCCCAAGACCCUGACUGAGAUGUACAUCCACUUCCUGGUGGUUCAGUCCAAACUGAAGAUCAUCAAGUAUGAAGGAGGAGCUGAGUCAGACCCACACUGGAAUCCAGAGACCAGUGAGAUGAUUCAGGCUCUGGGAAAACUGGCUUUUGAGCAGCUGCAGAAAGGAAACCUGAUCUUCUACGAACCAGACCUGACAGAGAGUGGCAUCGAUAUCACAGCAGCCUCAGUGUACUCAGGAGUGUUCACACAGAUCUUUAUAGAGGAGAGAGGACUGUACCAGGACAAGGUGUUCUGCUUCAUCCAUCUGAGUGUUCAGGAGUUUCUGGCUGCUCUUCAUGUCCAUCAGACCUUCUUUAAUUCUCGAGUCAAUCUGCUGUCAGAAGGACAGUCAAAGUCCCUGAAGUCUGAAACUAGACAAGAUGAAUCUGCAGAGACACACUUCUACCAGACUGCUGUGGACAAGGCCUUACAGAGUCCAAACGGACACCUGGACUUGUUCCUCCGCUUCCUCCUGGGUCUUUCUCUGCAGACCAAUCAGACUCUUCUAAAAGGUCUGCUGACACAGACAGGAGGUAGCUCACAGACCAAUGAGGAAGCAGUCCAGUACAUCAAAAAGAAGAUCGAGAAGGAUCUGUCUCCAGAGAAAAGCAUCAAUCUGUUCCACUGCCUGAACGAACUGAACGAUCGUUCUUUAGUGGAGCAGAUCCAACAGUCCUUGAGAUCAGGAAGUCUCUCCACAGAUAAACUGUCUCCUGCUCAGUGGUCGGCUCUGGUCUUCAUCUUACUGUCGUCAGAAAGAGAUCUGGAUGUGUUUGACCUGAACAAAUACUCUGCUUCAGAGGAGGCUCUCCUGAGGCUGCUGCCAGUGGUCAAAGCCUCCAACAAAGCUCUACUGAGCGGCUGUAACCUUUCAGAGAGAAGCUGUGAAGCUCUGUCCUCAGUUAUCAGCUUGCCAUCCUGUAGUCUGAGAGAGUUGGACCUGAGUAACAACAACCUGCAGGACUCUGGAGUGAAGCUGCUGUCUGCUGGACUGGAGAGUCCACACUGUACACUGGAGAUUCUCAGGCUGUCGGGCUGUCUGAUCACAGAGGAAAGCUGUGCUUCUCUGGCUUCAGCUCUGAGCUCCAACACCUCCCAUCUGAGAGAGCUGGACCUGAGCUACAAUCAUCCAGGAGACUCAGGAGUGAAGCUGCUGUCUGCUGGACUGGAGGAUCCACACUGGAAACUGGAUUCCCUCAGGGUGGAGCCUGCUGGAGUCCGAUGGUUGAGACCAGGUCUGACGAAGUAUUCCUGUGAACUCGCUCUCGACACAAACACGGUCAACAGAAAGAUGCGCCUGUCGGACGACAACAGGAAGGUGACGCACGUGGAGGAGGAUCAGUCGUAUCCCGAUCAUCCCGACAGGUUCGACUGGUGGUCUCAGCUGCUGACUGGAACUGGUCUGACUGGUCGCUGUUACUGGGAGGUGGAGUGGAGUGGAAAGGUUCAUAUAGCUGUGAGCUACAGGGGGAUCAAACGGAGAGGGAACGGUGACGACUGUGUGUUUGGAAGGAACGACCUGUCCUGGGGCCUGAGCUGCACUGAUGGUGGUUACUACGCCUGGCACAAUAACAAAGGCACACCCAUCCCCUCCUCUUCCUCCUCCCCUUCCUCCCCCUCUAAACGAGUGGGGGUGUAUGUGGACUGUCCUUCUGGCACCCUGUCCUUCUACAGAGUCUCCUCUGCCACACUGAUCCACCUCCACACCUUCAACACCACCUUCACUGAACCUCUGUAUGUUGGGUUUGGCCUCUGGUCCAACUGGUCUGAAUCCUCAGUGUCUCUGUGUCCUCUGUAGGAGGGACGGUCUCGUCCUGUUGGAGCAGGUGCUGAGACCUGAAAUGAUCUUCUUCCCGUUUGGCAACAGCUGCUUCAUUUUAAUAAAACAUGUCAAAAUUGAAAGUGAUGUCAGAAUACCAGCAGCAUCAGUUGUGGGGGCGGCGUUCUUCCGCCAUUGUUGCUGAAGGUUGGAGCACUUUUUCCAUUUGUCAUCAAUUUUCCUACAACUGCCAACAUUGGAAAUCUACACAGCUGCUUUCUCCCCUCAAGUAUUGUCAAAAAGGAAUUUAGUGGUGAAAUAACAUUUGCUCUGUGGGACACAGCGGACCAGUUACACUGGUCUGACUGACUGUCAGCGACUCAGCAGGACGUCCAGGUAUUUGUGCUUUUGUUCGCAUGCUGAAUAUUAACUGCGUCAUUUUGGUCAAAUCAUACAUGCUGCUUGUACAGUAGGUGGUUUUGAAUGUGGACCGGGUCUUGUUUUAUCACGUCUCUAACACUGAAAUAUGCAACACAAGCGUUUCUUUCUUUCUGUCCUGUCACAUCACUACACUGUGUUCUCCAGCUCGUAAAACUAAAACACUUAUAGAAACAGGCAUGUGGUAAACUGACCCCCAACACACACACACACACAUACAUUGACAGAGCACCCUCAUUACUGCAAAUAUCAAUUAGCAGGCAGAUGCUGGAUUCCUCACACAGGUGAUCUGGAGCAGGUUGUACAGUCCUGAGACCCUCCGAGACCUGGACGCUCACAUCGAGCAGUAAAGUGUCUGAUCCAGCUGCACAGCUUUGUGUCUGGAGGAUUUUACAUCCACGAUCUCAAGAUCACAGCUCCUGAUGUCUCCAUUUAAUCACGCUGUGAGGGGGGGGGGGGGGUACCGAUUCGUAAAAACAAUAAAAACUGGUCAACUCACAUUUAAAGUCCUGGUAAUACAUGAAUGCUAAAUAGACAAUGUAGACCCCCACAUAGGAGCCAGACCCCAGACUGAAAGAGGAGCCUUCUUGUGUCUCUUUGGAUUUUCCAGCAGGAAAUGUUGAGCGUGUCCAGAUUCAUACAGGCUGCAGACCUGCGGCCGAAGGACCCCUUCAGUAAUCCAUCAACGACCUGUGACCCUCUGUGGCCCCGCCCCCGGCUGUACAGCUACUCAGAAAUUCUUUCUCCUGACCGAGAGACGUGACACCCCCCGGCCAAUCACAGCUCACUGUCUCCCAUGACCUGCGUGAUGUCAUCAGGAAGGAGGAGCCAGAGACCGACUUCCUGGAAGCAGAAUGUAAACCAACAUGGUGUCUGAAGCGGUGCGUGUGGUGCUGCCUGUUCCAUCAUUCCUCUCACCUCACCUUGUUUACAGCAGAAAGAACGAGACAACCGAGGCAGACGGAGCAGAAGACGAAGAAGAAGAAGGUGAAGAGAAACAGACAGAAGAGCAGCGAGAAAGCAGCUGAAUAAGAAGAGAGUAAGAUAGAAGAAGAGAGGAGAAGCAAAGCAUCAUGGACGUUCUGAAGAAGGGAUUCUCCAUAGCGAAGGAUGGAGUGGUGGCCGCCGCCGAGAAGACGAAGGCCGGAGUGGAGGAGGCCGCUGCCAAGACCAAGGAGGGGGUCUUCUAUGUCGG